rnacentral:misc_RNA from 1 species
GAUGAAGAACGUAGCGAAAUGCGAUACGUAAUGUGAAUUGCAGAAUUCAGUGAAUCAUCGAAUCUUUGAACGCAUAUUGCGCUCUUUGGUAUUCCGAAGAGCAUGCUUGUUUGAGUAUCAGUAAACACCUCAACCUCCUCUUGAUUUUUCAAAAGGAGGGUGGACUUGAGCUAUCCCAACAACCUUUAUCGGUCGGCGGGCGGCUUGAAAUGCAAGUGCAGCUGGACUUUUAUCUGAGCUAAAAGCAUAUCUAUUUAGUCCUCGUCAAACAGGAUUAUUACUUUUGCUGCAGCUAACAUAAAGGAUAAUUGUCCUCUUUGCUGACUGAUGCAGGAUUUUACGACACUUUAUGUGUUGUUCAACUCGAUCUCAAAUCAAGUAAGACUACCCGCUGAACUUAAGCAUAUCAAUAAGCGGAGGA